UUAGCGCAACGAAAAACAUCAUUUGUACCUAAUAGUAACACUGCCUAACAGACAGCUGUACACGUUAUAAUUAUAAUAGAGUAAUGGAAUAUAAGGCUGCAGAUGAAGCUUUUGUAAUACAUGAGCAUUGUUUCAGCUGUAUCAAAGUUGCAAAGUGUACUGUACGUCCUCGUCCUGGAGAAAGCUGUGCUAUAAUCACGUGUGAGCUGAAAUGUGGAGCAUGCUUUCAUGGCUGCAAGAAAGGAGAACACCAGCAUUUGUGCAUCAAUGAGAAAGUUCCAUGUAUAAAUUCAGUGAAUGGUUGUCCAGUGUGGAUGUACCGACGUCAUUUAGGGCCACAUCUAGAGAAAUGUCCUGCAAGUGUUGUCCACUGUACUAUGGAGUGGAAUCGAUGGCCACUUGAAAUCAAGGACAGAGACUUUUCUCAUUGUCCGCACCACCAUAAGACCCAGAUGCCACUUGAUGAGGCUCUUGCACUGAGAGAUCAGCGUAUGCUUAAUCAGUAUUGGUGUACACCAAGGAAGACUCGUCGAUCCUUGAGGAAUCCAUUAACAAGAAAAUAUCCAGCUGUUCCUCUACAUCCAUACAGAGGAACACAUGAACCUGAGAGUGCACAAGACAGUACUCAGACCUCUCGAGGAGUAUCAGAUGAUGAGAGUGAUGCUCCUUGGGAAAUGAGAAAGGCCCCUCCUGGUCUACAACGAAGUGUUUGUAGUGAGCUGUAUCGUGCCACACGGGAGACAACAGAGAUGCUGUCAGCAGCAUUGAAUGUCAUUACUAACCACCAAUCUCAUCAAAGUGCAGAUGAGACUUGGAAGGACAGUAACUGUUAUUCAUCAGACAUUGAAGUUUGGAAUGGUAGUUCUGUGGAGAACAAGGAAAAUGUAUGCAGAUUCCAAGUCCAUGUUGCAAAUAUUCCUGAUGGUUGCUUGGACAAACAUAGUUUUUUGCAGGAAGUAACUGAAAGAGAUGAUGUUGAUGCUGAUAGGUGGAGUGAAGCCAGUAGUGGAAGUAAUGAUAGUAUUGAACAAAAUGGAGAAAUUAUAAACAUGCCAAUUGGUGAAAGCAGCUAUGGAACUCUCUUUGUAAAUGAUACCAUUGUGAGUGAAAUAUCUUCAGCUCCUCUGACAGAUUAUGCCAGAAAGAAUGUAAAACCUUCCUUGGUGGUUCUUCCAUCCUCGUCUCAGUUCUCUACAUUUACUCCAACUGCUAACAUCAGUAAUUUGAGCUUAGAUUUAAAUUUGGAGUCUUUGACAAGAUAUCAAGCCAAACCAAAAGCAAUGUACACUUUCCUUUGUGCACAGGAAUUUCGGCGUGAUGAAUAUGCUUGGCACUACCGUAACGUACAUGGUGACAUUCAUGGUGGUCUGAAUGGAUGGUUAGAACAGAGAUGUCCUCUAGCUCAGUAUGGUUGUAUGUUUUCCUGCCGAAGAUUCUACCCCGCUCCAAAAGGAUCUGUAGUUCUACAUAGUGACAUUUUGGAAAGUUUUGGGGUUCAGCCACCUUUGUGGAAUGAUGAGCAUAAUAUUACUAAUCAAAUGGAUUGGAAGCAUACAAGAAGGUCACCAGGAAGAACUGAGAAAUUGACCUUUCAGAGAAGAACAAGCAUGGAGGUGAUUCCUGAAGCUGGUGAUUCUAGUCUGAAAAAUGGAACAUGUGGUGGAAACCAGAAAGGAAUGCUCCACAUCACCCAGUUUCCUUUUGAAGUCCUCCAGCAUAUUGCAAGGUUCCUUGAUGGCUUUAGUCUGUGUAACUUGGCACUUACAUCGAAACUCUUCAGAGACAUAGCUAGCUCUUUACUGGAUGAGAAAGGACUGGUCAUUUUUCAGUGGGAAAGGAGAAAGUGUUCUGGUGGGAGAUAUUCAUGGUGUCAGGCCUACAAGAGAUGGUUUUUCAGCACUGCAUUUUCCCCCAUUUACAAGUGGUGUUUUGAGGAUGGUUCUCACAUGUCAAACCAUUUACAGCAGUGUCCUUAUUUCUUUCGAAAUAUUAAAUAUGAACCUUUCUAUUUCCCUAUGAGCAAAGAGCCAAACCAGGAAACCUUUGAAAAGCUUAAAAAUAUGAUUAGACUUCCUGAAGAGAGUGACAAAGACAGUGAUUUGUUACUAUGACUGAAUUUUGAUGCUUAUUUAGGAAAUGUAUGUCUAACUCCAUAAGAUAAGUAAUCUAUUUUUCAGAAGUCAUUAGUAAGGUGGCCAACAAUAAUGGCAACAAUAAGUUUAAAGUUAUAUUACUAUUCAAAUAAAUCAUAUAUUUCUUAAGUUGCAUUUUAUACUUUUUACUAUUUGUAAACUAAAAAUUAAAAAGAAAAUUAUUGCCAAUGAGGAUUUUAAUGUAAAGUUAUGUAUAACCUAGAAUAAGCCAUGAUGAUAUUUUAAGUAUCCUCUAAUUGCUAUUUCCUGUGCAUAAAAAAAAAUUGGGCAUUUUUUUUUUAAAUGGCAAUUUUUGGCCACUUUCAUGUUUUGAUGGCUGUCAUAUGAUAUGUGAUAUACAAUGCAAGCGAUGUUUGUAUUUAGUAGUGGUUGCCACCUCUAUAAAAGAUAUAACAGUAUAAUAUCAUACCAACUUCUUCAGCGAAAGUAUUGCAGCUGUGAUACUUAAUUUUUGUUAUAGGGUAUAGUUAUGAAGGCUUCAUAAUUCAAAUAAAUUUGAAGUAAGAAGAUGUGGCAAAAGAAGUUAGACUUCAAGUAAAAGCUGCAUUAAAGAUGUGAUUGGUUUGAUGUUUUUCUGAUGGGUAAACUUUGUUUCAUUGUAAUGAAACUACCUUAUUCUAAUUUGAGGUUGUUAUUGAUGUUAUAGUUUUACUACUGCAUUGUUCGUUUGAGUUAUUACGUAUCCCUAAUGUGCCUAUGAAAGUUUAGUUAUUUAAACAUUGGAGGUAGAAUGUAAAGAAAUUGUCAAUCAGAAGUAAAGAUUGAGCUAUAUCUGUAACAACACUAAAAAAUUCUUUUACAUGCCUUACUCUCUUCAUUGAAUUAGAAAAUAACUUGGUCUUAUCUGGUUACUUAGUGUUCAGUUUACAUAUGCUCAUCAUUAUACUUGCCUUUCCUUAAUAUUAGUCAUGAUAUAACAUGACUGUUAUGAAAGCAUGGACUUUAGGAGUAACAAUAAUUUGGUCUUGAACUGUUUCUAUAACUGGUUACCAUAUGUUCUUAUAAUAUUGUUUUGUGUGAAAGUAUGAGUUUUGUAUACAACCAAAAUUAUUUUAAACUCAUAGCACAGCAUAUGAUCAAAGUGUUUUGUUUUUUUAAUAAAAAAAAUUGAGUGUUUCAAAAUGUUUUUAGUAGUAAAGAUGGAAUUGUAUGCAAUACUGUAGACCUUGUAUGAACACAUUUGUGUUAUAUGUUAGUUAUGGUGUUACAGAAAAAUGCAUUAGCAAACACUUAUUUUUUGUUUUAGUCCUGCAGAAAGAAGGGUGGUUGGAAGGUGAGUAGUUGUAACUCCAUUUUUUAGGGUAAGAUGGGUGGUUGGUAGGUGAGUAGUUGUAACUCCAUUUCUUAGGGUAAGAUGGGUGGUUGGUAGGUGAGUAGUUGUAACUCCAUUUCUUAGGGUAAGAUGGGUGGUUGGAAGGUGAGUAGUUGUAACUCCAUUUGUUAGGGUAAGAUGGGUGGUUGGUAGGUGAGUAAUUGUAACUCCAUUUGUUAGGGUAAAGAACUCUUUCAUAUCAUCAAACUUCUGUUCAUACAUUACAUUUAUUCAUUGUUAGUAAAAUCAACUUGGAAUUAAUAUUGCUUCUGUGAACUUGUAUUUUUACAUAAUUACCAGAAGUACCAUAUUUUAUUUUUAAUUUAGUAUGUUGGUAGUAUCACGUUUGAGCUUUAAAUAUCACAUUUUCUGAUGAUCAAGUAUAAUUAAUCCAACCUAAUGUACUAAUGCAUGUACACAUAAUGGUGAAGAUAAAUUCAUGUUACAUUUGUAAAUUUGUCCUAACAACCCUGAAGUAAUAUAGUAGGAUUAACUUUAAGUAUUUUGAAUACUCUAAUGAAAGUCAGGGUAAAUUCACAUAUAUGUGAGCUUUCUAUGGUCAGAAUCUUUUUUUCUAGUGAUUAUUGCUAUUUAAACUUGCUAGUCGCAAGUACUUACCAUGUGUUGUUUUUAAUAUUGAUAUUUAUCUUUAGUGUGUUUUAAAAUUUAAGUAUUCUUACAUAGGUAAAUGAAUUGUGUAUUUGAUACUCCCUGUAGACCUGGGUUUGAGAUUUAAGUAAUAUUUUUGUGUUUUAUAUAGAAAAUUUGCAUUACAUAUAAUUGAUUUAUUAUCACUCUAGCUGGCAUAGAAGUUUCUGUUCUUACCUGUGUUAUAAAUCUUAGCUAAGAGAUUUUUUGAUUAAUCACUGUUAGCUCCGCUUUCAGUAUAAUGAGUUGUGAUCUUAUAUCUAAUUUUUGCAUUUGUUAGUAUUUAUAAUACAUUAUGGUGCCGUUGUUGAGGUUUCUAAAUGUAAAUUAUAGAAAAAAUGUCAAAUUUAAUAUUUUUCUUUCAUUAUUUCCUUUUCACUUUUGAGAAUUACAUUUUUUUUUAAAUUGCAUAAUAAGCUGAACAGGUUAUCUAAGUCUUUUUGAGAGUACGGUUUUCAUACAUUGAAUUUCAUCUAAAGCAAAUAUUAAAGGAGGAAAGCUGGCCUUGUUGUAUUUUUCUGGUCGUAACAGUUUAACAAUACAUAUACAUUCAGGUUUUCAAUGUGUGUUAGUAUUUGUGUUUAUUUUUGUUGAAGUUAAAUUGUUUUCAAAAAGGAGAACAAUUAUCUCAUAGAAUAGUGUUAUUAGACUUUAACUGACUGUUUUUGGUUUCUUUUUUAAUAAAAAAAUUUUAAAUUGUUAAUCCUAAUGAUACCAUUAGUCAUUGAGACAGACCAAAUGUGUAAUAUUUUUGAGAUGUUUUAUUUUUUUAAUCAUUAAAGGUACCCAAAAACAAAACAUUUAAAUGUAGAAUAGCAACAUGUUACUGGUAAAUGAAUCUGAACUAUGAAAAAAGCUAAAGUUGGCAUAUUAUCUAUGUUCCAACUCUUUUCCUCUUGAAUUCUGCAAUUUGAAGCCAUUUUUUAGCAUGUGUGCCUUGUGUUUGUAGGUAUAUAAAUUCCAGAAGAUUUUCCUAACAUUGCAUAUCCUGAUUUUUGUAGGUAUAUAAAUUCCAGAAGAUUUCCUAACAUUGCAUAUCCUGAUUUUUGUAGGUAUGUAAAUUCCAGAAGCUUUUCCGAACAUUGCAUAUCCUGAUUUUUGUAGGUAUGUAAAUUCCAGAAGCUUUUCCCAACAUUGCAUAUCCUGAUUUUUGCAACAUUAGUUUUCAUAGCUUAAGAAAAAUCUUUGUUUAUUUACAUCUUUGUUAGUGUUGCUAUCAUAUCUUGACAGUUUUUUUUUGUUUUUGUGAAUGUAAUUUGACCUUCAAAACUAUUUCUAUGUUGCUAGCUAUCUCUGUCCAUCAGACUCAACCCAGGGUAUUCAGAUCAUGUUUUUUAAGCUAUAAUUUGCAUCUAGUUGUUUAUAAGUUUUGCUCCUUUUACAAGUGUUUUCAAGGCAAUUGGCAAAAAAGUACAAGUUUUAUUUAUUGUCUGACAAGUUAAUCUGGUUCCUACUCAGUGCAUAAAUAAAAUUAGUCGUGCAUCCUUUGUGGAACAUUUAUGUACGUAAUAUAAUCUGUUAAAAAUUUAAAAUACUGUGUAAGUUAACAAAUAUGGCUUAUUUUACUUGUUCUUCAGAAUGAAUAUUUUGGAUAAUUAUACCUGAUAAGUUGAUCCUGUUUGUUCACUUUUUAAAACAUUUUUUGUUUGCAAAAAAAAGUGUUUCAUUAUUGAUGAGCUAUUAAUUCUACCAAUACUUAAUAUUGAAUGAUUAAAAAAAAUGUUUUUUAAGAUUACACUUACAUAUUUUUCAAAGCACAAAACAAGGUUGUUUUUGCUUCCUCUAACUAAUGUUAACUAAACUUAAGUGUUUGAUAUGGAUAAUCAUGCUGGUGGUUAUGAAAUUUUUUUUGUUAUUUAGAUUGAAAAAAGUAAAACAUUAUUCUCUAAUUUAGAAGUUGAGAUGAAAUUCAGAUUUCAUUGAAAAUCAACCUGUUCAUUAAACUAAGUAUGUGUAGUUAGUAUUUUGUUAAAACAAUCACUUUGUGUGUGUGUGUGUUUUUUUUUUUGUCAUCUCCUGGUAAUUUUCCAGUUUGUAACUAUUUCUGAGUCAUGUAUGCUGGUCACUGGUUUUUAUUUAAAAUCUAAAACAGCUUGGUUGUAUGACUGUAGCAUAUGUCUGAAAGGACAAAAAGUAUGAACUAGAUGGUUAUAUUGCCAUAUGUUUACCUUUUAUGUUCUCUCUUGUAAUGGGUCACAGAUUAUUUAUUACAUCUGGUUUAUUUUUUGUGUUUGUGUGUAUGUAUCCAUUCUUACUGGAGCAUUACAGAUUUAUUGAGUUUGGAUAGAAAACUGGCUGAUGUUAUGGUUCAUGAAUAUUCUUUUUGUGAUUAUUUUUUUUAUUUUGUACAUCAACAUGAUUUCCAAACACUUAUCUUUGGUUAGUGCCUUAUUCAUGGUUAUGUUCUUGUGACAAACAGAAAACUAACAAAUGGCACAUACAUUUACAUGCUUACUCACUUUGUUAAACAAAGGUUAGUGGGUUUAAGACCAUUAACAAAUUUAAAUGCUGAAGUAAUUAGAUUAAUAUCUUUUU
rnacentral:misc_RNA from 1 species